rnacentral:rRNA from 1 species
UACGUAGGGGGCAAGCGUUGUCCGGAUUUACUGGGCGUAAAGAGCGUGUAGGCGGCCAAGCAGGUCCGUUGUGAAAACUGGAGGCUUAACCUCCAGACGUCGACGGAAACCGCGCGGCUAGAGUCCGGAAGAGGAGAGUGGAAUUCCUGGUGUAGCGGUGAAAUGCGUAGAUAUGGAGGAAGACACCAAGUGGCGAAGGCAGA